UCAGCUGUACAUCAUGGCCUGGGAAGAAGGCAGUGAAAAAGGACCAGUGAAAGCUACCAAUGGAGGCAAGCCAUUAAUUAAUAUGGAGGAAUGUUUCCAGUUCAUUGGAACCCUAGAUGUGUUGUGUCUUUGGGUUACAUCUUUAACUCCUUCUCUGUGUCUCAAACCUGUAACUGCACUACAAAAAGACUGAUCCAUAAAGAGAACUAAGUAUGCUGCUGAGCAGAGGCAGCACUGACGGUCUCAACAUGGAACCUGUCUUAUCUUCUCAGAAGGAUCUUGGAAACCGGAAAGUAAAAUAGGAAACAUAGCGUUCUGAUAAAAAAACAGUAGGCAUCUUGUGCUGAGCAAGUCUGACGAAAGAAGCCUACUCAGCAACAGUUAGCUGCUAGUUUGGUGCACGCUACUGAUUGUAUUUCUAAAUCAAUUAUGCAACAAACAUGAUGGAAUGUAUGCAAGUUCUCUCUUCACUACUGUAUUUCUUUGUCAUGUAGAAGGUAUAUGGUGGCAGCAUAUUAUGUAUGAUCAUCUGUACAUCAGGCCUGAUGUUUUUUGCUCAAUAGACUUGUCAUGAAGAACUCUCCAUGGACCCAUCAGUGUAAAAAAGAAACUUGGAGUCAGCUGUGUCUACUUCAAGCUGAGCUGGUUAAGACUGGAUUGGACCACUGGCCUUUCAACUGGGUAUGCUCGGUAACAUUUUGUACGUGCAGAGCCUUGCUUGCAUUGGACAAAACCAGCCUGAAAUCCUCUUUCUUCCCAUAGAAGCUCUGAGGCUGGGAAGGAAGACAUGAGAGUUCUUUGGAAAUGUUUAAAGUCACCAGCCAAAGUUGGAGCAUGCAGGCUUCAUUUGUAUGAGAGACAAAAAGAAGUUUGUACAAAUCACAUCCUUGCUAUAUCUGAUUAUAUUAAAUUCAUUGAGCAGAGGAAGCAGUAAUGACCAAAACAGAAUAAGGAUGGAAACAAAGAAGAAUUCUUCAUUAUUUUCUUCUUCUCCCUCAAAUGAGUGAAGACUUGCCUCUGCUGCAGGACACUGCAGAUUUUGCUGGAACAUCUGUGAAGAGAAGAUGGAUACUGAACUGCUGAAAGUUGAAGGACCAGGCACUGCUGUAAAGUUUUUGGGAGUCAUGUAGCCUUAGACUUCCUCUGCUCCUGUGGUAGAUAUUAUCCUGAUGAUAAUAACCUUUCUACAGUGGACUUACUCAUAGUAACCCUGUAAAAGGAAUCAAUCCAGCUGUUGGAUAUGUGGGCAGCUGCCUGUCUAGCUCAUCAGGAUUGCCAUGGUAGGUAUCACCACUCUAGGAAGGGGAUUAGAAGUACUAAAGUAGUAAAUUAUGGAAGAAUAAGCUAGGACUAGUACUCUUAAUUCAUCUGAUGUUACCAAUACUGAUCCAGAAGGCUGGCCUGUCACAUGCUAUAUCAGUAAUGCUAGGCAUGGGUAUCCUUUUUCUGUCAAUCAAACUACACAGGCAGCCCAUCAAACUGCUGACCAAAAGGUCCUGAAAAUACCCCAUCGGAGCCAUGGGCGGCUACACUCAGAUUUGGGCUAGAUUCAUGUGUCUUACCCUGGAUUAUGGACAUUAGAACACUGGGCACCCUAUGUUGGGAACACAAAAAUUACUCUAAACUGAACCAAUGCAAUUGUACCAGGGAUCUGAGAUGGACAUCACCAGAACUGUGUAGUCCUUCUCUCACAUUAAAGGAUAGUGACUGGUUUGGCACUGACUGGUUGCAGUGCCCACGUAUUUAGGUGGUAGUCCCAAAUGGGACCCAUUGGUUGUGUGGCACAAAUCUUUGGGCUGCUGCACCCUGGGUUUUCCCUGGGCACCAGCACUUGCCCCAUAGUAACAAAAGUUGCUAACUGCCAUCUCCUCAAGGCCAGCUGGGCAUUUCUUUUUUCUGGUGGAGUGAUGAUUUGGCCACAUCUUUGUAUCUCCAUUGGCCUAAAAGACAUUAAUAGCACUCAUACAAGCCCUCCUAAUUCACCUAGCAAGCCAUACAUGAUAGCUGGCAAAGCCUGUUCUUACUGAACACUGAAAUGUCUCUAAUGAGAAAAUUUGUCCUCCAAAAUAGGAUGGACUUGGACAUUAUUACUGUCUCCCAAGGGGGCACGUGUGCCAUUAUCCAAACAGAGUGUUGUGUGUUCAUACUUGAUAAGUCUACUAUUGUAUUAUCUGUAUUAAAUCACCUAAGAACACAAGUGAAAGGCCCGAGAGAACUGAGCCCUAGCCUCAGGGACUUAAUAAAUCAGUGGUUCAGAUCAUGGGGUGGAAAAAAUUAUUACUUAUUUGGGAAUUAUUAUCUUAAUCUGGGCUUUCUGUUGCAUGUGCCUGUAUUGUUGCUGUG